UUCCUUUAAUUUCAGCGUGGAUCUUCCACUGGGUCGCAUGCACGCUUUGGAGUUGGAUUCCAAGAUUCAUCUCGUUGGAAGUUUCAAAUAUUUGUCCGUACUUGAUUAUUAUUGUGAUGAUCCUUGCUAUCCUUCCAAAAAAGUCUACGAACUAGACCUUGACAAGGAGGUGGAGGAGUCGAAUCCAAUAGAUGAUUUUUCAAAGUUAUUGAUACCGGGUUCUAUGCUCUUCACAAAAUCUGAAGUGUUUGUUAUUUUAUAAGGAUGUGUGGUCUCGAUCAUCUCGUACAUAAGGCUAGUCCUCCGAAUUUUUGGGUUUUAUGCGCUGCGACCAAGGUUUGGGCCCCUGAUCAUCCUGACCAACACUCACAUUCCUUACUUGAUCACAUGUAUUUCUAUGGUAAGCUAUACCUCCAAAUCUGUUUUGAAGAUGGAAGAGUUUUCAUCUACUCUUAUGACACCUAUAACUCACAUUGGACCAGUGAGGGUGGCAAUAAUUUUACGCGUUCUUUUUUGUGUCCAAGUGGGUGGCCAGCGUCGGUCCUUUCUUCCAAGUAUGUGUACUCCAGGUAUCAGGUAAUUUCCUGCAUCUUCAUGUUGUUUACUCCUGAGUAUUAUUAUUCGUAUUGGUAUUGCUAUUGUUACAGACUUGUUUUAUCCUGGAAAAUACCUGGCACUUUCAUGCAAAUACAUUGGAGAAAAAUACUUGAUGUGUGCUUUCCAGGUGGAUGAAUUGGGUGUCUGUUAUCUUCCAAAGACUUUAAGGCUGCUUAGAUAGAAUGCCAUCCUUCAAUCAUGAGGAAAGGUCUGUGCUUGUUGAUCUUGAUGGCAAAGGCACAUUUCUCGUUAUGUUACCUGGCUUUGCAAAGGAACGAAGACAGGACCCAGUCCUGUGCGUGUUGGGUCUCUCUUUUUCCUGGCAUCCCCUGCAACAAAGCCAUUGCAUACAAGGUCCCAAGGGAAGGAAAAAGAAAAUGCAACCAAAUUUGAGUUCCAAACAUGCUUGCUUGCUUCAAAGGUAAUGUUUGUCUCUCUGUUUUUUGUCAUCAUUGUCUUAUGUACCUUAAAGUAAAGUAGCUUUGUUAUUUGUUGUUGUCUCAUGUUGAUGUGAGUAAGUUUGUCAAUGCAUGUCAUUCUUGUUUCAAUUCAUGAAUAGAGGAAGGUUCUUCCUGGUGAUUUGAUUGUUAGUUUGGAAUAUUGUAUAGAUUCAUGUCAAGGACAA